rnacentral:rRNA from 1 species
GACGAACGCUGGCGGCGUGCUUAACACAUGCAAGUCGAACGAUGAAGAAGAGAAACGCGAACUUCGGUUCAAAUUUCACUUCGGAUUAGUGGCAGACGGGUGAGUAACGCGUGAGCAACCUACCUCUUACAAAGGGAUAGCCUCGGGAAACCGUGAUUAAUACCAUAUGACACAUUCAUAAGGCAUCUUAAGAAUGUUAAAGCUACGGCGGUAAGAGAUGGGCUCGCGUCCCAUUAGCUAGUUGGUGAGGUAACGGCCCACCAAGGCGACGAUGGGUAACCGGCCUGAGAGGGUGAACGGUCACAUUGGAACUGAGACACGGUCCAAACUCCUACGGGAGGCAGCAGUGGGGAAUAUUGCACAAUGGAGGGAACGCUGAUGCAGCGACGCCGCGUGAACGAUGAAGGAAUUCGUUUCGUAAAGCUCUGUUCUAUGGGAAGAAAAGGACUGUACCAAAGGAGAAAGCCCCGGCUAAAUACGUG